rnacentral:rRNA from 1 species
GAUGAACGCUGGCGGCGUGCCUAAUACAUGCAAGUCGAGCGAACAGACGAGGAGCUUGCUCCUCUGACGUUAGCGGCGGACGGGAGAGUAACACGUGGAUAACCUACCUAUAAGACUGGGAUAACUUCGGGAAACCGGAGCUAAUACCGGAUAAUAUAUUGAACCGCAUGGUUCAAUAGUGAAAGACGGUUUUGCUGUCACUUAUAGAUGGAUCCGCGCCGCAUUAGCUAGUUGGUAAGGUAACGGCUUACCAAGGCAACGAUGCGUAGCCGACCUGAGAGGGUGAUCGGCCACACUGGAACUGAGACACGGUCCAGACUCCUACGGGAGGCAGCAGUAGGGAAUCUUCCGCAAUGGGCGAAAGUCUGACGGAGCAACGCCGCGUGAGUGAUGAAGGUCUUCGGAUCGUAAAACUCUGUUAUUAGGGAAGAACAAAUGUGUAAGGAACUAUGCACGUCUUGACGGUACCUAAUCAGAAAGCCACGGCUAACUACGUG